rnacentral:piRNA from 1 species
AGGACAGCCUCCAAAGCCACAGAGA